AUGUAGAAAUGUUAUGAGGUUAUGUGUACGUGCGAUAAUGUUGUAUUGUUACUGAUGUGAUGAAUGUGUUUGUGGUGGUUUGUGCCCAGCACCGUGGGUGAGGAUGUGCCGUGUAGGAGUGACCCCGCGGUGCUGAGGGCUCAAUGAGUUUCUGUGUGUACUGUGAAAUAAUAAGUGUUCUCUGUGCAAUACCCAGAAACGACUUUAGACAAUAACUGCCUCCUCCUAUUUUAUCUCUACUCUAAACUUACCUGGGGUCGCGCGGUGUAUGGGACACAGGUUUUCUCACUCCCGAGGUGUUAGCUAAAAGGUUUAACUGUACCAGUUAGCCUCAGCUAGCCUAGCUUCGUCCGUAGCCGAAGCUUCCACAACAUUUACUGCUUUGAAAGGGGUUACACUGGGCCGGAGCAUAUGAGCGCUCAGCGCCGUCUCCAUCGGCUCAACAGGCUGGGAAUACCUCUGAGAGCUGUGACCAGGGUGCAAAGAACACAGCAGGAGUGGUAUUCGCUGGGCUUGGCACUUCCCCAGCCCGCUCCAUUAAAGCCGGAAUACACUCUGUCUGAGGCGCUGACGAGAACCCCCUUUUCUGUUUAUUACCCAGCAGCCGGAGGCCGAAGUCAGUCCACGCGUCGGACGGUCACGAGGUCAGCGCUGGUCAGAUGGUUCCGAUGCUGUGGUUUGGUGGAGGAGGUCGCAGUCCUGUCUCCCUGAUCUCACGCGUCUCUAAUCCAUCAUCAAGCAGCAUUUCUGUUGCUGAUCAUAUUUAUUGACGUAUAAUUGCUGUUAUCAUUCAUAAUUUGCUGCUUUUAACGUCUUAUCUGUUUCUGAUGAUCAUAUGGUGCAGAUUUUUCAUCAUCAGGAAUCAUAACACAUUUAGAAAUAACAUGGAUAAUUAAUACAAGUAUUGUUAUUAUUUAUUACUAUUCAGAGGCAAUUUAACAUUUUAGAAAACUAGUGGGAGAAAAAUACAAAUAAACUAACAUAAAACCUAUACAAUUUAAAUAAGAUAAUAUAAGAUAUAAGAAUAAGAUAAUUAUUUUACUUUGAUAAACCUUUAUUUUAUUUUAUUUUAUUUUAUUUUAUUUUUUAUUUUAGUCAUUUUGAUCUUGAGAUUUUCUGUUGAUUCUCACACUGAAGAACGAUCGGAAGUGACCCGUCCAGGAUUUGUAUGACUUUAACAAAGCGUUUUCACUGUAUUAUUUUAUUGUUUUUAACUUACUUACUCUAAGCUCAGUUUUAGGCCUCAUUAAAAACAUGAUCACAGUUACACUCCUAACGUUUCUCCCAGAUUAUUAAUAAAAAUUUGAAUCGAGGGAACCUCCUUCCAAAUGAAACAAAUAAAAACACGGUGAACCCAAACAACCGUGUGUUUUUGGCAGAAUGAGAAGAGCUCAGGGACACAAAUUAAUGGAUCUUGUUAUGGUAUAACAGAUACUUUCAUUACAAUAUAGAGUAUC